ACCCUGUACCCACAAAUGCUCCAGGGGGAUGCCCUGGCCCCUCCUGCCCUGCUAAAACCCACCUGCAUAGCUCCACACCCCCAAACACCUCUGGGGCUGCCCUCUCCCCCAGCCCUGCUUGUCCCACCUGGCUCUGCCCUGUACCCCCAAACACUCCAGGGGGGUGCCCUGGCCCCUUCCUGCCCUGCUAAAACCCACCUGCAUAGCUCCACACCCCCAAACACCUCUGGGGGCUGCCCUGCUUGUCCCACCUGGCUGUGCCCCCCAUCCCAAACACACCUGGGGGCUAUUCUGGUGCUGCUCAAUCCACCUAGCUGGCUGUGCCCUCAGUUCAUUGCUGCCCAGCCCCCCCUCCUUCCAAACACGUAACUGGGCCUGUCCUUCCCCGCCUUCUGCCCAGCCCCCAUGCCCCAAACAAUCUCUGCCAGCUGCUAGGCCUUGCCUGACACUCAUCCGGGACUGCUUCUUAUCCACAUUCCAAGGAGUGUCUUGUUCUCGACCCAGCUCAGACGAGUGACCUGAUUUUAAAAGUCACUUUCUGAAUAACAAGGCGCUUUGUCCUUGCUCCCAUCACCACAGAUAAAGGGCACCUUAUUUGCCUUCUCCUUGAUAAGAUGGCGCUUUCCGGAUUACUGGGGAAAGUGUUUAGGUGAAUUUAGUGCUGGUGUAUGGUGCUGAAUUAUGUGACCUUCAGCUGAGACAUGAAAGAUGCUGGAUUGGAAGCUCUGGAGACUGAAGCUUCCUAUUUACUACAGAACAGCAACUUCCUGCUGUGUGAAUGAACGGGCUGAAUUUUGAGAAGCAUCAUGUUCCAUCUGGGGCUCUGUGGACAGCCUUCUAUUCCUGGAUCCAUCCCAAAAGCUCAAGUCUCCGGAAAACGCAGCUUGAACCAGUCUAUGCAAACCAGCCCAGGGUGGGAGUUUCUCGGGAGUCAUUUACAGUCUCAGUGGUAGCCACCCCCGACUGUUUUUAGCUCCUGUAGAAGUUGUGGUUACCCUCCCCCAUGGAGGAGAACACAA